AACGGAAAGGCCAGUGCUUGCACUGGUACUCGAGUGGCGAACGGGUGAGUAACACGUGGGUGAUUUGCCCUGUACUUCGGGAUAAGCUUGGGAAACUGGGUCUAAUACCGGAUAGGACAACUUUUUGGAUAUUGUUGUGGAAAGCUUUUGCGGUAUGGGAUGAGCUCGCGGCCUAUCAGCUUGUUGGUGGGGUAAUGGCCUACCAAGGCGUCGACGGGUAGCCGGCCUGAGAGGGUGUACGGCCACAUUGGGACUGAGAUACGGCCCAGACUCCUACGGGAGGCAGCAGUGGGGAAUAUUGCACAAUGGGCGCAAGCCUGAUGCAGCGACGCCGCGUGGGGGAUGAAGGCCUUCGGGUUGUAAACUCCUUUCGCUAGGGACGAAGCAUUUUUGUGACGGUACCUGGAGAAGAAGCACCGGCUAACUACGUGCCAGCAGCCGCGGUAAUACGUAGGGUGCGAGCGUUGUCCGGAAUUACUGGGCGUAAAGAGCUCGUAGGUGGUUUGUCGCGUCGUUUGUGUAAGUCCACAGCUUAACUGUGGGACUGCAGGCGAUACGGGCAUAACUUGAGUGCUGUAGGGGAGACUGGAAUUCCUGGUGUAGCGGUGAAAUGCGCAGAUAUCAGGAGGAACACCGAUGGCGAAGGCAGGUCUCUGGGCAGUAA
rnacentral:rRNA from 1 species